ACAGCAGACCUAUGAAGGUCGAAGGGGAAGAAAAGCUGUAUCGAUUGUUGAGAUCUGGCGACUUGUUUAAAUUUCAUCAGCCUCACUUCUAUGAACUCUCAGGCCUCAUGUGUACCAGCUCUCUGCUCUCCUUUGCCUUGGGACGUUCCAUCCCUGGAAGUUUCCCUGCCCACAUCUUUGUAGAGAGUCCAUUCUCCAAGCUUCAGUGUGUCAUCUGUGAGGACUGUGACCAACCUGGUACAUCGCCUCAGGGCAUUCAUUUCAGGCUCCUUCUAAAUGGUCAAGUUUUCAAGAUUGUUUUGGCUCUAGCAAAACAAGUUGGAACAUUCACAUCAUCCAUCUUCUGUCAGCCUAACAAGCAUAGCAAGAAGAUAUAGCCCCACAACCACUUUAUGCACAAAGUUAGAAGCAUAAAAUCUCAUGGAAAGAGACCGAUUAUCCACAGAAGAGGUUGUCUUGCCAUUUCUCUCAUGUUAGAGGUAAACCUCAGGUUCUCCUCCUGCCUUUUGCUAAGUAUAUGUCUUGAUGACAAGCCUUCUGCUGAUGAGCUGUGUUUCUGGACCGAUCAUGGUAGAAGUCAAUUAACGUGUCCCUCACUUGGGGUUUCUCAAGG
rnacentral:lncRNA from 1 species